rnacentral:lncRNA from 1 species
AUGCACAAAUAUGAAUCCUGGAUUUUCUUUUGUUCUUGUUCUUUCUUUCCAGUGGCUAGAUCACACAACUGGAAGGAAGAAAAAGCUGACUGUUCUAGAAAGAGCACAUACUUAGAAUCAAGACCCCUGGAUUCUGAGCAGGACCCCUGGCUCCGGAUCCCUUCUGGGCACCACCCCUCUACCUCCUCGGGUUGUCCUCUGCGGUCCACGGCCACAGUCCUGCACCUGAAGGAGACAGCCCAGCCCCUCCAGGCAGCCUUGGGGACUGCAGCCCCAGGCAGGCUGACCAAUCCUACCUGCCACCAGAGCUGAGGGGCGAGCCGGCACUCGUUCAGCC